UCGCGCAGUAUUACUGACAUAAUGGGAAACAGCUGAUUAAUUCUCACUUUAUAAACAUUUCAAGCUUUAUUGUGCUGCUUUUAUCAAACUGUACAAGUUAGAGCUGAUUUAGAGUUCGAUGACUGGCAUUACUUAUAAAGAGAGAUUUGUUUGCUCUCAACUGAACAUAUAUGAAUAUUCAUGAGCUUCCUCGUUUCGGUUUAACACUACAUUAUUCAGUUUAAUGUGACUCACAAAUGUGUAGAAUUAUUUAUAUCUACAUAACCGACUACAGUUAUAAAAUAAAACAGCUUUAUAGAAUAAGAUCAAAAUAAAAUUAAAUUGACAUGAAUAUUAAUGAGGUCAGCGAAAGGGUAAACUGACCAAUCACAGCGAAUAUUCAAAUAACGGUUGUUCCUUCAUCUUUUCCGAGCCAUAAAACCCAGAUCAAUUAAUAAUCACAAAUAUUGAUGAGAUACACGCUGAAAACAAACGGACACUCUGAUGGAGUUGAUUUUCACAGGUGGACUGGCCGGUGUCCUGUGAUGAGGAUCCACAAGAAGUGUCCUCUGUCUGGUGUGGAUCUGCAGAAAUACAUGAAGCUCUGAGAUCCAGAGAGUGUUUCCCCAUCGGAGCGGCUCAAUCCCUUCAGACGGACCUGCAGGCGCUCUGGAAACGCGUCCGGCUCCACAGAGACACACUCAGCCCUCAGCCCUCAGCGGAGAUGGAGAUCACCAGCACAAACACACACUGAGACGCUGCUGCAUCAUGGAGAAUACAGCUUACAGGACGGAUGGCUUCAUACUUUGCCCUGUAACAUUCCGCUGCGGUUCAUGGAAAUAUAAAACUGGCUCUUGAGUCCUUUUAUGGCCAAAACGCCGCCCUCAGAAACCGUCCUGAUCUCCAGAACACCUGAAACACAGACAGUGGAUCAGACCAGCGCUUACACAGAGAUCCUCACAAACACAAGACCUUCAUACAUCACCUACAGCUGACGUCUGAAUUAUUAUUAGCCCUGCUAUUAUUUUCCCUCAGUUUCUGUUUAAAGGAGAACACAAUUCUGCUCAUAAUAGUUCUAAUAACUGA